AUCUUUGCGCUUAGGUUAAUGACAUAGUUACAAAGGUGAAACCGUGACUUGUCAAUUGCUGGUUGAAAACUAAAUCAUCAUUCAUUCCAAGUGACAUACUCCUCCAUGAUUGCUUACUAGACUUCAUAUCAUAAUUAUAUGACAUUUGUGGAAAAACCUAAUGUUU
rnacentral:snRNA from 1 species